ACGCGCACAGAGGUCCCAAAACCCAUUUUCUUCCACAGAACAACGUGGUACAACAACCCAUGGACGCGCGGAGCCUACGAGACCUACAUCACCUUCUGGGGCGAGCAACAGGGCAUGGAGAGUCACGACCUGCUGGCCAUCCCGAUCGCCAAUUCCAACGGCGCUGAGGUGCUGGCGUGGGCGGGCGAGCACACCCACAACGCGCGCUUCGGGACGACCGACGGCGCCAUAGCCACGGGCGAGCGGGAAGGCUACAGGAUUCUCGACUUGCUCGAAGCGAAGAAGCUCUAAGAGCGAAGAUUUUCCCCAUUUGUCUUUCUUUCGUUAUGUGGUGUGCCUUCUUUAUUUUUCUCUUCAGCAAUACAUCGAUUUGUUUUUUUUUCUGAUGCCUGUGACGACCGCCAUGGAAUAUAUUUCUUGCCUUUCAUCGUUUGCUUCUUAUUCCAAGAUCUUGCCAUUCUUGGUCUAUGAGGAAGGAUGAAGGAGUUAGGCGAGAUAGUCCAGACAUCUGUCUCUGUAUCUUCCAUCUCUGUCUCUUUCUUCUUUAUGAGAAAGGGAGAUAAAACGAAAGGGGAACUGAAAAGAACAACAAAAAUAAGUGCUGGCAUUUUGUAGGUAAAUAAAACAUUUGUCCUGCAAGCAAAGAAGCAAAAUUGUUUAAUUUAGAGACGAUGAGUGCUAGAAAAUUAGCAUUUAUGAUUAAGAAAAAGAUGAAUAUCGGAAAUGGAUUGCAACUUCAACAAAAAGAAGAAAAAAACGCUAUGCAGCAAAAAUCAAAAUAACUAAAAAAGAGAGAGAAAAAAAAACAUAAAUUCUCACCUUAUUUUUCCGUCUGUGGCAUAUUGCACACGUAGAAGCGUCAGACACACACGCACAUAUAAAUGGGGGAAAAUAUAUAUGUAACCACAGGCCUACGAACCAGAUGUCACAGAACACCGUGGAUAUUGCACAGCACACGAAAGGAAAAAACUGUUAAGAGGUAUAUGUUAUGCAAUAGAUGCUAUUAAAAGAUAGACAAAAGCCGGUGGGUUCCAUACUCCCGUUUGAAAUCCAGUG